rnacentral:lncRNA from 1 species
GAACGCGACCACUACAAAUCUUACAUUCCGUUCGUCGAUUGGCCCCGACAAACACAUCAGCUGUCUUAAACAAACGCAACUUGAUCACUCUUUUGAUCUUCAAACGUCCAACACAAGGACGAAAGCGCGCUACAAAAAAAAUCCAAAAUUUUGGUCUUGCACUUCCAGUUGGCUUAAAAAUUGUCUCUGGAAAGAUGCUCGAUUCGUACCAUACAAGUCGUAUAAGCCGAGAACCUAUCGCGGACUUUAAAUCGGUACGAAUCAGGUAGAAAUCGCAACAGGAAAACCGAUAGCCGGCUAGUCACCGCACAAACCUUAAAACCGAGAGUAAACCUAGGUCUUGCCCUAAACCCAUCGCAUUGGUCUCAGACAUCUCAAAGACAUGAUAUCUAAACGAUACGAGAUCCUAAAACAUGUCUCUUCGUUCAUAUCUCAACGUUACCGAAAAGAUCGUAAAUAAUUUUUACGAAAACUCACGUCUCGAACAAACUAACAGAUUGAACGCUUCAACGAAGAUAAAUAUGAUACGACAAUUCAUGUUUACUUCAAAACCCACUCAAACAAACAUCCAUUAUACAAACCGCAUAGCGGUAGGGGUUCGAAGGCCACACUCGGCCAGACAUAUAUGAACAAAGGCCACACUCGGCCGCUAAAUACUAGAUAAAGGGAAAAAAUCCUUCCCGUCAAAAUGAUCACAGAUCAAAAUUAAAACUCCCGGACAAGAAAGCUCCGAAUGCAUCUGCGGGAAAGUUCACUUCCUCAUCGUCACCGGCAAAAUCAGUCGUAGU